UGCAGGCCUGGAUGACCCCCAAACAGGCUACUGUUCAAGGUUUCAGGGUUUAAGUUUUGCAGUUAUUCCAAAGUCUCAGGGGAGAGAGUGUUGGAACGAUAUGAGACCGCAGCAGCACAGACCUUGGAUUUAUACUCCACGGCUCUUGGAUAAACAUGGCAUGGUGCUGGAAAUAAAAACCCCGUGUGCGUGCGCGUCAGUACGCGUGUGUGAAUUAGACACAGUCUGCUUGUUGAACAGGGCCUGUCUUAUCGGCGCGAGCAAAAUGUGUCCUUGUUUUGUCCAUUAAAUCAACACUCUGCCUCUGACUCUACGUUCAAAACCAGCGCACUUCCUGUGAAGUAGCAACCCGCGGCUCACUGGUUUGUUUUCUGCACGGUAUCACAUUACAGGGGGACAUGAAAAGCCUCGCCAUCUGUCCGGGGCGCAAUAAUAAUGAUAUUCGCCUGCCACCUGGUCUGGAAGGACACCUCACAGGCUGCCAUCACGUCUCGAACGCGUCCCCUCUCCGACACAAUACGUAAACAUCGUGCGUAAGGCAUCAGACGCCUCAGUGAGCACGUGUUGCCUGUGUUUGCACGACAUGCUCUUACCUAGAAUGCAACUCUGAUGGAAUAAAGGAAACAGCAAUGAUCACUGGAGUGAGAGAUCUCAGGACAUGCUUGGAGGCGACACAAUUUUUCUGUCGAAGAUGAUGAAUGAUCGAAUGUGCACCAGGAAAGACAAAGUGAUUUUCUAUAUCCUAAAAUCAUAAAAUAUAACAGCGCCUGUAAGUGAGAGCCGCAGCAAUGCUGGUAGAAAACGCAGAGGGGAGAGACGAGAGGGGACACUACGGGCCGCACGGAUACAAACACAAGCGCUGUUCUCCACAACAAAGACCCCUUGUAUCUCCCCCCCAUACGACACAGUGCAUCAAUCCAAAAAUCACCACUUUUUUCAUUACCCAUUAAUGCUGACUGUGAUAAGGGAACCCUAACCAUGAGUGCAUCUCUCUGUCUGGUUCUCUGCCUCUCUCCUCCUUUCUUUGCGCCCUUUGUUUUAUCUCAGGUGAAUUGUAAUCAUGUGAUCAAAACGAGCACCCCCUUCCCCCUUAAAUGAAAAAAAAAGGGGGGAACAAAAAGCAGUUCUGUGCAUAUGAAAAAAGAAAAGAAAAGAAGAAAAAAGCUUGAGUCUUCCCAUCUUCUGUCAUUCUUUGUCCGACUCUCAACAAACUCUGACAUAUAAAGAAAAAUACUCCAGGAGCGCGGUGACUCGGCCCCGGGGAGCUGUGGUGGGACGGUCCGGCUCCUGGAGCUUUAAACCGGGGACCUUCAGAGAGCCACUCCGGGGAUUUCUGGAGGACUUGCGGCCCGGCCUCGGUUUGACGGCAGAGCAGGUGUUGUCAGUGCUCCCCCGUUGAAGUGGAUCAGUGAACCAUGCAGAAAGAUCCGGGGAGGUCAGAGGUCAAAGUCAGCCAUGGAACGACAGAGCUGGAACUGAUGUCUUUGCUUUCCAACCAACAACACAGCUGUGAAAAAGGUUCUUCCACCUCCGAGCCGUAUCUAUAAAUGGAAGCUUGAUCCAGCCAGCGCUUCAUCGCCAAAGGCCCCUCCUUUUUGGUAGAAAGAUUUUAAAACCUCCAAUAAACCGGAAGGCCGAUAGAGGUAAAGUGCAGGUACCGAUGUGUUACAGCAGAGAUGAGACACACACAACACAAGCCAGUUAGUGGUCAACAGGUAAAACAGGGGACUUUUCACUGAAGCCGGUUUCCAUAGGAACACAUCUCCUGUGGCAUUUGGGGGGACAAAGAGAAGUGGAGAGAGUCACCAGAGACACGGUGGCGUAGGGGGGGCUUGUCUACAGUAUUAAUUGCUCUCGUAAUGUGAGUCAGAGAGGGAGGGAGCGAUGGGAUGAGAAAAAGGGCAUAAGGGCAGAAAACAAUGUCUUCAUUUGAUUUUAAGUAGAUUCUUAAUAAGGCGGAAGAGGUGACUCAUAAUGGGCACUUUUCUGAUCCAUAUCACUGACUGAGAGAGUGACAAACCUUCAGUCAAAAAGCAUUCACAGAAAGCUUUUGUGAUUUACUUUAUGCCACUUAUUUUUCUAAUGAUUCGUCUCAAGGACACUCUGCUGACCAAAAGGCUAUUUACAAUAACUAUAAAAUUUAGCAAUUAUAGAGCUAUGUUUAAGAAAUCACUGAAUUUUGCACAGAUUUUUUCUAUUUUAUUAUUUUUGAUUCAGGCUUAAGAUGUACAGAGAGAAUGCAGAAGGAAGUACAUUGAGACUGGCAGUUAUGUAUGUAUGCUUACAGAAUUGUGUCCGGCAAUUAGUCAAUCAAUCAAUUCAAUUAAUCAUUUAAACCACUUAUCAAAAAUGGAUUUUUUUUUUUUGCUGGAGACAAAAUGUAAGGAUUUGCCUCUUUUCUCUGAUUUGUUAUCAAGGUUAGCUGAAUCUGUUUUGAUUUUAGUUUGUUGGUCAGUUGUUUUUCACUUUUUUAUAGACUAAGCAUUGCUUCUUCAGAGUAACUGAUACGAAAUUAUUGUGAGUUGCAGCCCUGUUGUGCCUGUUUCUGUUCAUAUUUGCACAUGUCCUGACUUUGCCACCAUGCUGUAUGUACACUAAUAUGGAAAUCUUUUACUGUAUGCUUCACCAGCUCAUCCCUAAUCUCAUAAAUUACAGAUUAAUAGUCAGUCACAAUCUCUGACACUGAAACAAGAAAGAAAGCCAUUCUAUGAUUAGAUAUUAUAUAUAUGAUAUAGAUAUUUCCUGUCUGUUAAUCUCAAAAGAGAGAGACAAUGACAAACAGGUUCGUUAGGAGUGGAGAGGGAUUAAGAAAGUGUCCACUUCCCCUCAAGCCUUUGGUGAUCGCCCCGAUGAGACACACUAUUACAUCUGCCAUAAAAAUAAAUUAUACAUUCAGUAUGAAUAUCAAGGAUUCAUGCCCAGGCCUGACCAGUGUGGCAUCUAGUGAGGCCAUUAUACAAAGUGGUCUGAGUCAUAUGUCAUCAUAUUUCGCUGGUCAUAAGCAUUCUGAAAUUGUCAGAUGCUUUCAAAGGCAAAUUCUAACUAAAAUGUGUUUUCUGCCAGAAAUGAUAACAAGAGGGAGUCUGAUUAUUGUUGAAAACUACUGGCAUGAAAAGCACAGAAUAUCCUUGUUAGAUUAAUUGGAUUACUUAAGGGAAGCAUAUAUUUGUUUUGUGAUACAAUGUAAGUUAAGGAUGUCCGUCUCACUAAUGUGACUCAUGCUGCAGGCCUGGUGACUAUUUUGAAUCAGUCAGUCAGUCCACUGAACAAAUUCACUUCACUUCCUUCUUUUGUUUGCUUUAGCAAAACGGUCUUGUAUGAUGUGAAAACUAAUCAAUACGUACCCCAGUUUCACCUCUGCUUGUCACGAGCCAGCCCACUGAGAAGCAGUCAGCCAUUCCCACGCUACCAUCACAUCCCAGACAACCUCCAUGUUGGCUUCAAUUCAAAUUAUUUUUUCAUUUUGUCUUUCGCAUAGUCUUAAUCUUUACAAAACAUAUUAUACUUGUAGGUUUGUGUGUUAGAUCGGUAGGUAAUAUAAAUAAUCACUUUGUAACUGUAAAAGAUCCGCUGAGAGUUGUAGCGUAAGUAUUUAUUCAUCUUAACAGUCCUGGUCGAUGCUGUCCUUCCUGAGGGUUCCUGAAAAGGCCAUUAGGGCUGUCUGAAACAAGAAUCACUUUAGGCCAAAGUGACUUAAUCCAUCCAGCAGCGAUCAAUAAUGCUCCCCUAAAAAGAUCACUUUAUACCCAGGCUUCCCUGUGAUGGUAACAUGAAGCAUUUCUCUUCUGAAUGCUGCAAUAGCAGAGAUGCACAAAAACAAAACUAACUCAUGAAAUAGUCCAACAUUUAAAAACAACAGAGAGAUUUCCAGAAGCAUAUCAUUUGACUUUUGUUUGAACUUAACCAACACGUGCACAAUGAGAUUGUUGCCUUAAGGUUUGUUUUAUACCUGCUGUACCUUCAUAGGUUGCUGGUGGUUGAAAAGCAAAACAGCCACUGCGUUUGACUUAGAGGUUGUUUUUCCAGCUGUUGUCUUUGAGCUUCACCAGUGCUGUGCAGAUACAGUAUAUGACCGACAAGUGUGACUGUUCACUUGAUCAUAGACGACACGGCAGUUUCCAUGAUGCCAGAGCUUUAGUCUGUGCUGUUGUGACGCAGUGCUUAUUUUGCUGUCAUAACUGUCAAAGAGUGUACUGUCUGAAGGUAAAACUAGAACUGCUCUUCUAGUUCUGUCUGUCAUGUGAAGUGCAAAAUUGUCAAAUA